ensembl:lncRNA
GUUUCAUUUCUGGCCCCCCUGUUGCCUCUGCGUUCUCCCAUAUUCUCCGCUUUGGUUCUCACGGCUCUGCUGUUCCCUCUGAGAGGGGUCUUCCCUCUCCCCCUCCUCUGGCCUCUCUGGGACUUGCUGGAAACUUGGCAAAGCUUCUGGCUAUCACGCAAUAUUGUGCAGAGUUCCCUGUGCUAUACAGGAGGUCCUUGCUGGUUAUCCAUUUUAUGUAUAGUGGGCUUGAGCCAUUGUCUUUCAUUUGAUACCCAAGAAAUGAUUUGGGGAGAGGAGGAAGUCCGUGAAACUCGUGGAAGUAGACUUUAACCUUACUGUGAUAUUUGAACCCAGAGGAUCAAAGUGAGACCAUUCAAGACAGAACCCAGGCCAGCGACCGCGCUGCCUAACUCUUCAAAGUAAAGAGUGUGCACAGGUGUCUUGACCCAGCAAUCCCACUGCUGGGCAUACACACCGAGGAAACCAGAAUUGAAAGAGACACAUGUACCCCAAUGUUCAUCGCAGCACUGUUUAUAAUAGCCAGGACAUGGAAA